rnacentral:lncRNA from 1 species
AAGUGUAGUCAAUAGGAUUCACUAGUAAGACACACUGUAUCUAGUUCAGGGAAUUACUAUAAAACUUUACAUUUGUAUAGUGCUUUUUACUUUGCACCACACUUAAACAUUUUUCUUUAAUCCUCACAACCAUACUCUGAGGUAUGUAUUAUUAUCACUACUUUUUAGAAUGGGAAAUUGACACUGUAGGAGGUUAGGUGAAUUAGGUUUCAUAGCUGGCAAGUGGUGUGCCUAAGAUCUGGACUUUGAUCUGGGACUCCUCAGAGUAGUAGUAGGGACCCAGUGGAAAUUAUCUGCAUAAGAAGUGAAAGGUAAAACUGUAGAAAAGGAUGAGAUCCCCAAAGGACAGAUUAUAGAUGGAUUUUAUAUAUGAUAUAAUAAUGUGGAGAUAGUUUUCAGUUUUUAUCUGAAAGUUGGAGUUGUCUCUGCCUCUUCUGCUAGGAGGGUGAGUACUUUUUACUUAAUUUGGGAAUUAGAUUUCACCCUACUGCAGUAGCACACAUCUAGAAAGGCCUUAAAGGUACAUUCUUGCAAAAUAAUAAAAAUACAUUUUUCCUGUCAUAAUCUGCUCCCAUAACAAAAAACACAGGCUGGGUGGCUUAAACAACAGACAUUUAUUUCUCACAGUUCUGGAGGCUGGGAAGUCUCAGAUCAAGGUACCAGCCAGUUCAGUUCCUGGUGAGGGCCCUCUUUCUUGACAUGAAUAUAACCACCUUCUCGCCAUGUCCUAACAUGGCAGAGAGAAGGAGCUCUGGUGUCUCUUUCUCUUCUUAUAAGGUAACCAGCCCUAUCAGAUUAGGGCCCCACCCUAUUAACCUCAUUUAACCUUCAUCACUCCUCACAGACCCUUAUCUCCAAAUAUAGUCACAUUGGGAAUUAGUGCUUCAAUAUAUGAAUUUUGGGAGGACACAAACAUUCAACCCAUAACAUUGCCCCCAAAGUGGUAUUCUUGUGGAAAUGAGAGAACAAAGGCCUGGCUACUUAUUUAUCCCUAAAAGCAUCACUGUGAAUAAUUAAAGAGGCUUUGAAUAAAUGUAAUUCUCACUCAUAUUCAGUCAUUUUGGUGUACCUCAUAUACUGCCACUGCCUCUAAGGAUGCCUAGACUUCCUACUUUUUUCAAUAGAAAAAUACUAAAUUAGCCAGGGUGCAGUGGCUCACACCUAUAAUCUCAGCACUUUGGGAGGCCAAGGUGGGCAAAUCACUUGAGCCCAGGAGUUUGAGACUAGUAGCUUGGGCAACAUGGGAAAACCCUAUCUUUACAAACAAUAAAAACAUUAGCCAGGCAUGGUGGCACACACCUGUAGUCCCAGCGACUUGGGACUGGGAGGCCGAGGUGGG